GCGCCGGUAGCCUAGCGGACAAGGCACCAGGUUCCGGACCUGGAGACCGGGGGUUCGAAUCCCUCCCGGCGCG
rnacentral:tRNA from 1 species